rnacentral:rRNA from 1 species
GACGAACGCUGGCGGCGUGCUUAACACAUGCAAGUCGAACGGAAAGGCCUGCUUUCCCUUGUGGAUUGCGGGUACUCGAGUGGCGAACGGGUGAGUAACACAUGAGUGAUCUGCCCCCAACUUGGGUAUAAGCCUGGGAAACUGGGUCUAAUUCCCGAUAGGACUGCAGGGUGGUGCCUGUGGUGGAAAACGAUUUUCUAGUGGUUGGGGAUGAGCUCGCGGCCUAUCAGCUUGCUGGUGGGGUAAUGGCCUACCAAGGCGGCGACGGGUAGCCGGCCUGAGAGGGUGGACGGCCACAUUGGGACUGGGAUACGGCCCAGACUCCUACGGGAGGCAGCAGUGGGGAAUAUUGCACAAUGGGCGGAAGCCUGAUGCAGCGACGCCGCGUGGGGGAUGACGGCCUUCGGGUUGUAAACUCCUUUCGACCGCGAGGAAGCCACCUGGUUGGAAGGGUGGUGACGGUAGUGGUAGAAGAAGCACCGGCUAACUACGUG